rnacentral:rRNA from 1 species
UGGGGAAUAUUGGGCAAUGGGCGCAAGCCUGACCCAGCAACGCCGCGUGAAGGAAGAAGGCUUUCGGGUUGUAAACUUCUUUUAUCAGGGACGAAGAACGUGACGGUACCUGAUGAAUAAGCCACGGCUAACUACGUGCCAGCAGCCGCGGUAAUACGUAGGUGGCAAGCGUUAUCUGGAUUUACUGGGUGUAAAGGGCGUGUAGGCGGGACUGCAAGUCAGAUGUGAAAAUUAUGGGCUCAACCCAUAACCUGCAUUUGAAGCUGUAGUUCUUGAGUGAUGGAGAGGCAGGCGGAAUUCCGUGUGUAGCGGUGAAAUGCGUAGAUAUACGGAGGAACACCAGUGGCGAAGGCGGCCUGCUGGACAUUAACUGACGCUGAGGCGCGAAAGCGUGGGGAGCAAACAGGAUUAGAUACC